GUCCGGGACAGACGGCGAGGGCGCUUCCCCUGCAGCCAGCCGGAAGGAUGGGGCUCUGGAGGGGCUGAGCCGGCGGUGAUCCUGGCGGGCAGCCUGCAUGCCGGGGGCUUCUCACCUCGCCGGGCUGUGCACACCUCGGGUGCCAGGCCCCGCCCUCGGAUCCCCGGAUCCUCGCUCUUGGGGGGAUUCUCAUGACUUCAGAAGCCUUGACGCCCAGGGGUGGUGGGCACAGCCACAGAGAGGCAGCAAGUGGAAUUCUGGGCAAUUCUGCCUCUCCCAGCUCCUUCUGUGCAGUGGUGCUCACCGCAGGCCUGGCUUGCCCUGCUCCACACAUGCUAGCAGCAGACGGCACUUCUUCCACCCAUACGAUGCUCAAUGGGACAGAAAGACGGUGUGGAGAGAGCAGUGCUCCCCCAAAUAACCCAGGACUGAGGAAAGUGUGAUAAUCCUUGCUAAAUUCUACCUGGCAGCUCACUGCCACCCACUGCCCCAGGAGCUUUGAUGAUGAUUUUAAAAAUUUAUUUUUGGCUG
ensembl:lncRNA